CAGGAGGAACUCCCCGGCCCAUGGGAUCUCAGCAUUCAAAGCGACACAGGAAGGCUGGGCCCCUGAAACGGGGCCACCGAGGAGAUCGGAGAACAACCAGGAGGAAGUACUGGAAGGAAGGAAGGGAGAUCGCUCGGUUCUACCAUCAUACCAGGGGCUUCCAUGCCUAUGAAGACAGUCCUCCAAACCCUGGCUUCUGAGCUACUUGUUGCUUCAACUCACCGACUGUCAACGUCUAUUUCAGCAACCCAUGACCAUGAUCUGGUCAUCAUUUGAAACCAUUCCACCUCUGAAGUUUUAAUCUCUGUGUACCUCCUAUGU